rnacentral:rRNA from 1 species
AUACGUAGGGGGCAAGCGUUGUCCGGAAUUACUGGGCGUAAAGAGCUCGUAGGCGGCUCAGCAAGUCGGUCGUGAAAGCCCGAGGCUCAACCUCGGAACUGCGGUCGAUACUGCUGUGGCUAGAGUCCGGUAGAGGAGAGUGGAAUUCCCGGUGUAGCGGUGGAAUGCGCCGAUAUCGGGAGGAACACCAGUGGCGAAGGCGGCUUUCUGGGCCGGUACUGACGCUGAGGAGCGAAAGCGUGGGGAGCAAACAGGAUUAGAAACCCUAGUAGUCC